GUUGUUUUAAGCAAAUAAAAUGUGGAACGUCCUUAUACGUGUUUAAGGAGGGGUUGUAAAGGUGCUCAUAUCUUCGGACCUCUUCUGUUAUGUUUGUUCAUAAUCAACAAGAAUAAGCUUGUGAGACAGUCUGCAGGAUAUUCAUAAAAAACCGUGUCAUUAGUAUGAACAGUUGAGACAACUUAUCCCUCUUUCGUCUUCCGGGUCACAACCUGGCAGGGAGAGAGGGAGCAUGCGCAAAGACGCAAAGUCCAGUUCCUUAUCCAAUUCACCGUUACAUGCCGCAAUAGUCGAACUAUCAACUGGAUCGGAUCGAGUUAUCCAGGGGUGUUAGUCCGACUAUGUGCGGUCCGACUACGAUCCGACUAAGGUGCUUACAUGAAACGGAUAAUGCGAUUUCAGUCCGACUAAGGCAGUUAUUCGAAUCCAUGUAACCACGGUCACUGCAAGGAUGGAAGUUUUUCACAAGAUUGGAAGAAGCACAGUUCGUCCCUUCUAAUCACUUCUGGUCUAAACAUGCUCUUGUACAUAUGCUAAGUGGCACCUAAUAAUCUUAGUUACACACACGCACACAGAAACACAGAAAAGCCACGUUCCUGCUUUCAUAAGCACAUGAUUCAUACAAGGAAUAUAUUAAUACAAGGCACUUGAUUCAUAUAUUCUUAAGUAACAGUGUUUGGAAAUUAUCUCCAUCACUGCAAAUGGAGGAUUAUUUGAUGAACAGAAAUCAUUAUUUCUAACUUUGACAAAGUCUUGAGUAUAUUUUUGAUUGAUUUUGUACCUUAUUUGAUGGUUAAAAAAAUAUGAGAUUUCCUGAAAUAUUUCAUUGCCUGGGUGUUUCCAAACUUUCAAAGGGAAGUGUAUAAUUUCACUAUGUUAGUCCAUGUCUAGCUUGAUGUAAUAAAAAACAAUUACCUCCCCACAAACAUAAUAAUUUCCUGCAAAGGUAAUUAAUUAUUACGUUUGUGGUGGGCAACCGUUAUUUCGUUUGUGGGAAGCUAUUACGUUUGUAGGUGUAAUCAUACUUGGGGACAAACAGACAGAUAACAUACUUGGGUACAGACAGGCAAAGAGACUGAUAACAUACUUGGAUAGGUAAAACAGGUAGACAGAUAGACAGCAUUCUUGGUUAAGAAAAAGGUAGUGGUGAGGGUAAAAGGAAAUUUUAAAAGUGUCCAUCAAGCAAUUUCUAUCUUUUAGAUAGAUGGAUUAAAAUAGCUAUUUGCUUUUUUGGAUCAGAGGAAAUUGCUACGUUGUAGAAAAUGUAGGCCUACAUAUUGUUCACAUAUUGGCCAUUCAUGUUACCAUUUCAUAGAUAAUGUUUUCGAGGACAGCAGAAAAUAGUAGUGCUCGUGCUAUGUCUGUGGUGGAGAGAAAGAACUCAAGGAGGACAUAGGACAUAGCUCUGCCCCAACCUUGUAGCUUGACAUGGAGAAGCGUUACCCACGUGACCUCCUCAUGACCCCCGAGCAGCUUGAACCACUUCUGGUGAUCGUUGGACCAGACCUGACAAAACAUUCUACUGCUUGCCAAAAGCCUAUGGAGCCAAAGCAGCGGCUUGCUGUCAUUUUAAGGUAAGCUCUCAAAACCAUCUACAUACAUUAGGCAAUGAUAGUAGGAUAUUUAGUUGAGAACAUUCAGGUGUGUUGGAAUGAGGAUAAAAAUAAUUUGGGGUGACAUUGUUCCAGUGAGGUAAUGCGGUAUGGGGUAUCCUUCGUUGGCUCAAGUAGCGCCUUGACUGGCCUGUCCCUCAUUUCCUUCUGCUUAGCCAACACUUCCAGAACCAGUAAAAUGUGUUACUACAGUGGGGAAAAUAAGUAUUUGAACCCCUGCCGAUUUCGCGAGUUUGCCCACUUGCAAAGAAAUGUGUGAUCUAUAAUUGUAAUGGUAGGUCUAUUUUAACAGUGAGAGACAGAAUAUCAACAAAAACAUCCAGAAAAUUGCAUUUUAUAACAUUUAUGAAUUGAUUUGCGGCAAAUAAGUAUUUGAACCCCUAGCAAAACAUGACUUAGUACUUGGUGGAGAAACCCUUGUUGGCAAGCACAGACGUCAGACUGUUCUUCUAGUUGGUCACCAGGUUUACACACAUCUCAGGAGGGAUUUUGGUCCACUCCUCUUUGCAGAUCUUCUCCAAAUCCUUAAGGUUGCGUUUUCAAUGGGAGGGAAUGAGGUUCAAGCCCAAUAGUCUACGGUACAUGGCCCCAUCCAUAGUCCCCUUGAUGUGGUGGAGUCAUCCUGUACCCUUGGCAGAGAAACAGCCCCAA
ensembl:lncRNA